rnacentral:misc_RNA from 1 species
ACAUCCUUCAACCUUUCUUGGUUUCUUGACCGGGGAAGGCUUGGACUUUGGGGGUUUUUCAUUGCUGGCCUCCCUUGAAGCCAGCUCCUCCUAAAUGGAUUAGUGGGGUCUGCUUUGCCGAUCCUUGACGUGAUAAGAUGUUUCUACGUCUUGGGUUUCGCACUGUCGCUUCAGACCCUGCUCCUAACCGUCUUGCAUCUAAGACACAGUUUUAUGAA